UUGCUUCAAGUAUCACAUAGACUAAAAUUGCUACGAUACACAGAAAAGUAACAUGGCCCUGUACAAGGAUGACACACACAUUUGUGAAGUGCACCAUAUUAAA